rnacentral:rRNA from 1 species
UACGUAGGGGGCAAGCGUUGUCCGGAUUUAUUGGUCGUAAAGAGCUCGUAGGUGGUUCGGUAAGUCGGAUGUGAAAUCUCCAGGCUCAACCUGGAGGGGUCAUUCGAUACUGCCGUGACUAGAGGUCGGUAGGGGAGUGUGGAAUUCCUGGUGGAGCGGUGAAAUGCGCAGAUAUCAGGAGGAACACCCGUAGCGAAGGCGGCACUCUGGGCCGAUACUGACACUGAGGAGCGAAAGCGUGGGGAGCGAACAGG